rnacentral:rRNA from 1 species
GAUGAACGCUGGCGGCGUGCCUAAUACAUGCAAGUCGAACGGAAAGGCCCUGCUUUUGUGGGGUGCUCGAGUGGCGCACGCGUGAGUAUCACGCGAGUAACCUGCCCUUGACUUUCGGGUAACUUUAGGGAACUGGGGCUAUUACCGGAUAGGAGCUCCUGCUGCAUGGUGGGGGUUGGAAAGUUUCGGCGGUUGGGGAUGGACUGGAGGCUUAUCAGCUUGUUGGUCAGGUAGUUGCUGACCAAGGCUUUGACGGGUAGCCGGCCUGAGAGCCUGACCGGCCACAUUGGGCCUGAGGUACGGCGCAGAAGGCAACGGGAGGCAGCAGGGGGAAGUAUUGCGGAGUGAGCCGAAGCGUGAGACAGCAACGUCGCGUGCGUGAUGACGGCCUUCGGGGUAAAAACCGAUUUCGCCGGUAACGAAGCGUGAGUGACGGUAAUGGGUAAAGAAGCACCGGCUAACUACGUG